GACGAACGCUGGCGGCGUGCUUAACACAUGCAAGUCGAACGGAAAGGCCCUGCUUUUGUGGGGUGCUCGAGUGGCGAACGGGUGAGUAACACGUGAGUAACCUGCCCUUGACUUUGGGAUAACUUCAGGAAACUGGGGCUAAUACCGGAUAGGAGCUCCUGCUGCAUGGUGGGGGUUGGAAAGUUUCGGCGGUUGGGGAUGGACUCGCGGGUUAUCAGCUUGUUGGUGGGGUAGUGGCUUGCCAAGGCUUUGACGGGUAGCCGGCCUGAGAGGGUGACCGGCCACAUUGGGACUGAGAUACGGCCCAGACUCCUACGGGAGGCAGCAGUGGGGAAUACUGCACAAUGGGCGGAAGCCUGAUGCAGCAACGCCGCGUGCGGGAUGACGGCCUUCGGGUUGUAAACCGCUUUCGCCUGUGACGAAGCGUGAGUGACGGUAAUGGGUAAAGAAGCACCGGCUAACUACGUG
rnacentral:rRNA from 1 species